UGUCAUAGGAGGAGGAGAGAAGGGACAUUCGAUCGAUCGAGCGAGAGGGAAUCGCUGUGCGCCUCAAAAUCCUGGUCGCUCUAUCGGAUAGAAGCGAGCGAUCGUGUCGCUUGUGCUGGAAGGGUAGGGUUUUUGGUUCUCCCAGAGUGUGGGUAGGGCUUUGCAAUGCCGCUGCGCCUCCUCCUCUAGAAGCGCGCAGAUCUAUCGUCUUCGUCGAGCUCUUUUCAUUUCAUCAGUAGCAACGCAAAGCGAAAAAAGAGGUUUUCUUUUCGCGAGGAUCACAAUGGGUUCCUUGCUGGGCGAUCUUCCUUCGUACAACCCGCACAAUUUCAGCCAGUUGAGACCAUCGGAUCCUUCUCAUCGCUCCCAACUCACACCGCUCACUUAUCACGCUACUCACGACCGGACGAUGCCUCCGGCGGAUCAAGUCAUCUCCACUGAAGCUACCAACAUUUUGCUGAGGCACUUCUAUCAAAAAGCCGAUCACAAGCUCAAGUUGAAGCGCUCGGCCACCGAUUCGCCUCUCGGGGAUCACAAGCGUCCCAAGAGCACAACUUGCGCUCCAGAGAAGAGAUGAUCGCGAGUUCUCGCUGUACUAAACAAGCCCGCGAUGGAAGAAAAAAAACAGAGGUUGGCUACACAGGUUUGAUGAGCAGAAUCCAUUUUCUCGAUCUCUAAGCUUGUGAAUAUCUAGAUCGACAAUGGUAACUUUCUUUUAGAAACUUGUGUACACAGGUGAUUCAUCGCUCGGUCGCCCUCUAGCAGAUCUCUCACUCCGGCUCGUACUCGAUCAGCGUCGGCACCGCCCAAGGCUCGUUCUGCGCGGAACUCUUUAUCCUCUUCACGUUGAACUGGAGUUGCAACUCCCCGAGUCUUUCGACUGUGGCUUUUCCCUGUUUGAUCCAUCGUCACUUCGGAAAUGAAAACGCUACUCUAUCAACGAGUUACCUGCUUGUCUUCGAGAACUACGUGCUCCGAGAUGGCCGCCUUUGCCUUUGGUAUAAGAAAACUUGCUGUAGAAAUGCGAGAGCUUCUCGGCGUCGAAGCCUCUGUCAGUGACGAGAAGCUUGGAAAAUCUCUGCUUGGCGACCCUCCUCGUCCCGGCCUGGAAAGAACGAACAAGCGAUGAGGAAAAACCAGGAAGCUUGUAGCUACCUCCGUCGAUUGUAAGCCCAAGACAACGCUCCAGGCCUCGCCUAGCCGAUGCAAGAAACUUUGGCUGUGAUCUCCUCCACCAGCGCAGCGAAUUCGACUGCUUCUUCGUCGUAAUCUCGGCACCAAAGCUCGCUGGCUGUGAUGGAAGCGCGGAUCACAAAAAGCUCUGGCGCUGUCCAUUCGAUUCGAUUCGAGAAAGAUAAGGGAAAAGGGCGGAGAAUUCCACUGUAUACACAGGCAGAAAAGAGUUUUUACAACCACGUAAGAACGUAAGAAAUAACGGCUAGUUUCUUCUUUGGAA